AAUCAACGCUGGCGGCGUGCCUCAGACAUGCAAGUCGAACGCGAAAGUCCCCUUCGGGGGAUGAUUAGAGUGGCGCACGGGUGAGUGACACGUAGGUAAUCUACCUUCGGGUGGGGAAUAACUCAGGGAAACUUGAGCUAAUACCGCAUAAUGCAGCGGCACCACAUGGUGACAGUUGUUAAAGCAUUUAUGCGCUUGAAGAGGAGCCUGCGGCGGANAGCUAGUUGGUAAGGUAAUGGCUUACCAAGCUACGAUCUGUAACCGGCCUGAGAGGGCGGACGGUCACACUGACACUGAAUAACGGGUCAGACUCCUACGGGAGGCAGCA
rnacentral:rRNA from 1 species